CCUACGGGGGGCUGCAGUGGGGGAUAUUGCACAAUGGGGGGAACCCUGAUGCAGCGACGCCGCGUGGGUGAAGGCGCGUUUCGGCGCGUAAAGCCCUAUCGGCAGGGGAGAAAAUGACGGUACGUGACCAAGAAGCCCCGGCUAACUACGUGCCAGCAGCCGCGGGAACACGUAGGGGGCAAGCGGUAUCCGGAUUUAAUGGGUGUAAAGGGGGAGCAGACGGGCAUGCAGGCCAGGAGUGAAAGCCCGGGGCCCAACCCCGGGAGUGCCGUUGGAACUGCAUGGCUGGAGUGCAGGAGGGGCAGGCGGAAUGCCUGGUGUAGCGGUGAAAUGCGUAGAUAUUAGGAGGAACACCGGUGGCGAAGGCGGCCUGCUGGACUGUGACUGACGUUGAGGCCCGAAGGCGUGGGGAGCAAACAGGAUUAGAUACCCGAGUAGUC
rnacentral:rRNA from 1 species